AUAAUUAAAUUAUUAUUAUUUUAUUACUCGCAUUAUUCAUUAGUAUAACUAGUAUAAGGUAAUUAUAUAAUUAAAUAUUAUGAUCAACGAUAAUAGUGCAUAUCAAAAUGGGAAGACAUCAAAAUUAUUGUCAUUCUGUAAAACUGUCCACACCAGUAACAACUUACAUUCUAAUUGAAUUUUUAUUGUGGUUUAAUUUUUUUUUAUUUAACGUUAAAAUGGAUCAACUUAAAAACGUACUCGUCAACCAUCGAAAAAGUUAUCAACUAAAAAGAAAUUGAGUAAUCGAGUGAUGAAUUUUCUAGGAAUUCAAAACAAACCAAGUAAGUAAAAUAUUAAAUGAUUAAAAUAUAAAAUAUGUAUAAAUAAUAACGUAAUAUCAGUUAUAACAAUACAUUGUUUUUAAUUAAGUCCCAAUCCAGAGGUCGUAGAAUCUGUUGUGAAACCUUUUUUCUUGGGUGAUGACAAUCAACUACCAUGCACAUCAAGGGAAACAAUUAGUCAAAAUCCAGAGCUCGUAAAAUCUGUUGAGGCACCUUUUUUCUUAGGUGCUGACAAUCAACUACCAUGCACAUCAAGGGAAACAAUUAGGCAUAAUCCUCGGCUGGCCGCCGACUACCAGUAGUGGGCGUGGUUAAAACGUCGCGUGCUUGCGGAUCACGAAAACACCUAACAGCGCGUUCUCUCGGACGUUGUAUGCGUUUCACUUUUAGUGUG